AUCCCUUUCCGGCCCUUUGGCUAAGAUCAGGUGUAGUAUCUGUUCUUAUCAGUUUAUGAUCUGAUACGACCCCUAUCUGGGGACCAUAUAUUAAAUGGAUUUUUGAGAACUGGGGCAGGUUCAAAGCUUGCUUCCAUCACUAUGCAUUGACCCGAUUUGGCAGUAUCUUUGGGUACAGUGCAUCUCCC